rnacentral:lncRNA from 1 species
AAAAAAAAAAAAAAACAGCGGUUUUGUUUAGUCUUUGUAAAAUUGUUAAGAUGCUAGCAGAAACAUGCAUUUAGGAUAGUAAACAUUUCAUGAAUACUUUCAUUUAAUCACAGUAUUAUAUAUAAUAAGUUUGUUCUCUCUUUUUACUCAAAAAAAAAGUUUGUUCACUCUUAUUAUAGAAAAAGUUUGUUCACUCUUAUUAUUACUAUCUUACACAAGUAAUAUGAAGGAUGUUUUAUGAUAUGAUUGAUUGACAAUAUGAAUUUUUUGACACUAAUACUGCAUACGUAUGCAUGAACCUCGAUUUGUUAAAUAACACACUAGCCAACGUCAUAUAUUGAGAUCCAAUUUUAUUUCACUUGAAAAAGUACGUGGUAUCAGACAUUGUCCCCGAUAUUAAAAAAAACUUUAAUAUGCUGAAAUUUCUUAUAUUUUGCAGCCAGGGAUUUUGGUUCCAGAGGCAUUGGGCUUAGGCAACUGGGUAAAGGCUCAGGAAUGGGCAGCAGUUCCUGGGGGCCAAGCAACCUACCUAGGCAAUCCAGUUCCAUGGGGCACCCUACCCACCAUUCUGGCCAUUGAAUUCCUUGCUAUUUCCUUUGUGGAGCACCAAAGGAGCAUGGAGAAGGACCCAGAGAAGAAGAAAUACCCUGGUGGUGCUU